CACGGGUGAGUAACACGUAUCCAACCUGCCGAUGACUCGGGGAUAGCCUUUCGAAAGAAAGAUUAAUACCCGAUGGCAUAGUUCUUCCGCAUGGUAGAACUAUUAAAGAAUUUCGGUCAUCGAUGGGGAUGCGUUCCAUUAGGUUGUUGGCGGGGUAACGGCCCACCAAGCCUUCGAUGGAUAGGGGUUCUGAGAGGAAGGUCCCCCCACAUUGGAACUGAGACACGGUCCAAACUCCUACGGGAGGCAGCAUG
rnacentral:rRNA from 1 species